CGUGAUAUCAAUAAAAUCAAAUGAUUUAAUCAGAUGUUCAAAUAAAUUACAACACUUAUCAAAUCAACUGAUGAAACUUUGAUUGUGUCUCAUCAAUUGUAAUUGUUAUUUACUUGUGAUGGUGAUGAUUUGAUUUCCCAAUUGUUAUUAAUUAACUACCUGUGAUUAUAAAGCAAGGAAGACAUUUAAUUAUUAAAACAACAAGACAACAACAACAACAAUUAACAACAAUCAAAGGUAACUGUUAAUACCAACAACAACAACUUCAGCACAAAAGUAUAUAUUAUUAAUGGUAAUCGGGGUUCAUGGUGGUGGUGGUAAAGAGGGAGUGAGGUGUUGAUUAACUUUCAUCUCUCAGUGAGUUCAUUGGAUUUAACUCUCUUAUUUCCAUGCAUGAUUAGAUUGCUAUAGUUAAUCUUAUGAUUCAUGUAAUAUGCAAACUCACAAAUAAAUACACAAUCUGAUUACAUGGAAGCUCAGAUAAGAUUUACAUGAAUUUUAUUCGCUUUGAUGAUAAAGAAAAUUUUUCCAAUUCUUUGCAUGGAAGAAAACACUUUAAACGAAUUAGCUUUAGUUUAUCAAUAAUCAUGAAACGUAGCAGAAAAGACGAUGAAAAUUUCCGGAAACAUCGAGAAAAAAGAAUUAGAAACAAAAAGUUCUUUCGAAUCAAAAAACUUUUUCACCAGCCCAGUUUCACCCUCAUCACCAUCACUACCACCAAAUAUGCUGACACUUAAAAUUGAGUCUCAGAAAAACCGAUUAACCAUGAUAAACGUCAUCAUCAGAAUUAUCUGUUCACCAUCAUCAACAUGGAGACGGAAAAAAAGUCAUCUCACUUUUUUAUUUCCUCGAUAACAACAAAAUUCAAUUAUGAAUUUGCAUUAAUCAUUGGUUAAGUGAGUCUAUUUCCCUGAUAAUUAGCAGAUAGUAAAUUAAAAUAAGCCAUCAGAAUUAAUCAAUCAAGUAAUGAAUUCAUAUAUACAUUAACGUAAAAAAAAGUUCAUCCAUCCUGAGUACUCAGAAUAAGACAGAAAACAUCAUGAGCAACAAAAGGUAAGUUGAAACUGAGAAAAGAACAUAAAAAACAUGAAUAAGAUUUACAUCUUUACAUUUCGUCUUAAAUAUUAAAUUAAUCUUCUUACAUCCUGAGUUUCAAUAUAAUCACACUGAAAAUGAUCAAACUGAAUUUCCCCUGAAGGUGUCAAAUGUUAUAGAUAAAAAAGCACGUGACUUACAUGGUGUAAAUUAUUGAGACUUUCAUGAUAAAUGAAUUCACCAAAUUGAGAAGAUUUUUUUUUUCCUUUCCAAUACUUUUUCCCAUUGAUGAGUUUUCCUGAUGAAUGAAAACAGAAACGAAAAUUUUUUUUUCUUUUACAUUUUGAUGAAUCCAAAUGGAAAUAAUUAUUUUGUAUACAUUGAUUGUUAAUUACUGUUCUAAUUAAUUUGGAAAUGUUAAUUGAAUAAAUGUUAAUAACGAUAAAUGGCUAAUCAAAAUUCAUGAGAGUAACUUUUUAACAGCUAAUUGGAUUGAAUUUGGAUUCUGAACAAGGGAUAGAUUUUCAUGAAUGAAUUGUAAUUGAAUAAUAACAUUUGUAGCUUGUAUUUAGAGAUGAAAAUUAAUCAUGUUUAACAGUUUGAUUGUUUACCAAUCAUAAAUCAUUGACAAUUAGAUGGUAAAGAUUAAAUUGGAUUAAAUUGUUGAUGAAAAAAAAAAUCAAUUCAUCUGAGAUUUUGGUCAAUCUCUUGUUACCUUUUUAUCAAUGACACAACAUAGUGAUUGUUAAAUUGUUCCCAAACAAUUUACCUGAUUAA